rnacentral:ncRNA from 1 species
CCGCAUUCUCAGGGCGGGGCGAAAUUCCCCACCGGUGGUAAGCGUAAGUAAGCCCACGAGCGUUCAUACCCUGUAUGAAGUCAGCAGAUUUGGUGAAAAUCCAAAGCCGACAGUGAUAGUCUGGAUGGUAGAGAAUAGCG